CGCAUCUGUGCAUGCAGCAUAUCAAUAAGCGGAGGAAAAGAAACUAACAAGGAUUCCCCCUAGUAACGGCGAGUGAAGCGGGAAGAGCUCAAAUUUGAAAUCUUAAAGGGUUUCCCUUUACGAAUUGUAGUUUAAAGAAGUGUUUUCUGUUGAGGUUUUGGCAAAAGUUCUUUGGAAUAGGACAUCAUAGAGGGUGAGAAUCCCGUAUUUGACCUUUACUUUCAACUUUGUGAUACACUUUCAAAGAGUCGGAUUGUUUGGGAAUGCAGUCCAAAAUGGGUGGUAAAUUUCAUCUAAAGCUAAAUAUUGGCGAGAGACCGAUAGCGAACAAGUACCGUGAGGGAAAGAUGAAAAGAACUUUGAAAAGAGAGUUAAACAGUACGUGAAAUUGUCAAAAGGGAAGCGUUUGACACCAGUGUUGUUUUUCUGAAAAUCAAUUAAAGAACUGUUUAUGCUAAGCUGUUUAGACUUUAUCAGCUAUCUGUUUAGUUUUUGAGCUUUUCUUUAAUGCACUUUUCAGUUAACAAGUCAACAUCAAUUUCUUUUGCUGUAAAAAAGCUUGAGGAAGGUGGCUUGAGAUUCGUCUUAAGUGUUUAUAGCCUCUUGCCUAUGCAGUCGGAGAGAUUGAGGUCUGCAGCGUAGAUCCUUCGGGGCUAAAUGCAUUUGUGCUAAGUUAUAGCAUUUUAUAGACAACUUGUUGACUAUGAUUUGUCUUGUAGCUUACUCGCUUAUGUUAUUUUACCUACGCUUAGGAUGUUGACGCGCACAGAGUCUC
rnacentral:rRNA from 1 species